rnacentral:rRNA from 1 species
CAAACGACUCUCGGCAAUGGAUAUCUCGGCUCUUGCAUCGAUGAAGAACGUAGUGAAAUGCGAUACUUGGUGUGAAUUGCAGAAUCUCGUGAACCAUUGAGUCUUUGAACGCAAGUUGUGCCCGAGGCCUUCUGGCCGAGGGCACGCCUGCUUGGGUGUCAUGG